rnacentral:rRNA from 1 species
UACGUAGGGUGCAAGCGUUGUCCGGAUUUAUUGGGCGUAAAGAGUUCGUAGGCGGUUCGUUAAGUCUGAUGUUAAAUAUCGGGGCUCAACCUCGGGAGUGCAUUGGAUACUGGCGGACUGGAGUGUGGUAGAGGUUAGUGGAAUUCCCAGUGUAGCGGUGAAAUGCGUAGAUAUUGGGAAGAACACCAGUGGCGUAGGCGACUAACUGGGCCAUAACUGACGCUGAGGAACGAAAGCCAGGGGAGCGAAUGGG